CCAGCACAUUUGUUGAAAGAACCACGCUGUUUUAAUUGAAAAUGUGAUAAAAAUAUAUGUAACAUGAAAUUUACACUUUUAGCCAUUUUAAGUGUACAGUUUAGUGGUAUUAAGGGCAUUUGCAUUGUGGUGCAACUAUAAGCACCAUCUAUCUCUAGAAAUUUUUUCUUCAUCUUCUCUAACUAAAACACUUUAGCCAUUAAAUAAUAACUCCCCAUUCUCCCUUCUCCCAGGACCUGGAUACAACCAUUCAACUUUCUGUUUCUGUUGUGGGCUGAAUUGUCUACUCUCUCAAAUGCUUACCUUGAAGUCUCAACUCCCAGCAUUUCAGACUAUAACUGUAUUUUGAAAUAAAAACCUUUAGAGGAGGUGAUUAAGUUAAAAUGAGGCUUUUGGGGUGGGGUCCUAAUCCAGUAGUACUGGUGUCCUCAUAAGAAAGAGAAGGGACACCAAGGAUGCUCAUGCACAGAGGAAAAGACCAGUGAGGACACAACAGGAAAGGGCUUGCCCAUCUGCAAGCCAAGGAGACAGGUCUCAGAAGAAACCAAACCUGCCAACACCUUGAUCUUGGACUUCCAGCCUCUAGCAGGUGCCCAGGAACUUCAGGAUCCAGGGGAUGAUUUUAUUGCCUGUGUUUCUGCCUGCUAAAAGGAAACUUAAGCAAGAUAGUAAACUGACAGGAUGCACGUGGAAACCACGGAAGAUAGGGAAUCCCUGUCUGCUACAUGAAUAACACCAUGGCCUAAGGACUGGAAGAUGUGCCACUACCACUGAGUGAUUCUGUUCAAGAUCUUGGUUUUACCCCCAAUUUCAGCUCAUUUGAGUGGUGAUGUUCUUUUGACUGCAUCAGCCUGAUUUUCACCUCCAACUCUGCUUUCUCCUGCCUGUCCUUUCUCAAUCACAGAUCCAUGCUCCCUGGGCUUCGUUUUCCCCUUCAUGUAAGUAUCCCCCAUCCAUACUUGUUCAUUCAUCUCACAAAGGCUUCACAUUCAGAAAGACCAUUUGGAUUUCACUUCUGAGACUCUGAGAAAAUCAUUGAACUUCUCUGAACCUCAUCAUCAGGUAUGAUGAGAGGAUGCUACUGAUAACUUAGUAUAAUGCCUGGAACAUAAUGAGCAUUCAGUACACUGUUGUUUUUCUUAUGUCAUCAUUGUUUACUCUUUCAUGACUGUCUAAGUAUCUUAAAUACUUAAGGGAUUACUUUUAUGAGGGAGGCAAUAUCAUAGAGUGGUCAAGAGUACAGCUUUACAGAGAGUAGACUGAAGCUCAAACCCAAAUUCUGCCAGCCCCCAAGAAAUCCUCCAAUGAUUCUCUCCUCCUCAUAGUUACACCCUUGUGUUGGAGCUUCCCCCACUGGAUCAUGGCAGUCCUGUGUACACAGAAGAACAUGGUAGAAGUGCCAGUGUGCAAUUUCUGGGGCUAGGUUAUGAAGACACUGUCAUUUCCACCUUGCCCUCUCUCUCGAAUUGCUCACUCUGGACAAAGCCAGCUGAAAUGUUGCAAAAACAUUACAGCAUCCUCUGGAGAUACCCAUGUUGACCCAGGAGAAACUGAGGUCUCCUUACAAAAGCCAGCACCCACUUGCCAGUCAUAUGAGUGAAUUAUCUUGACAAUGGGUCCUCUGGCCCCAGUCAAGCCUUCAUAUGUUGCAGCCCCAGCUGACAUCUUGACUGUAAUCUCAGGAGGGAUCCUCACCCCAAAAAACCCAAUGAAACAAUCCCUGAAUUUCAUACCUAGACAUUUUAUGAGAUGAUAAAUGUCUAUUACUGUCUUAAGCCUCUAAGUUGUGGGGUAAUUUGUUAUGAAAAAUAGGUAGCUAAUAUACUAUGUUGAUAGUAUGGGGGAGCUCCUUAUAAGCCUUAAUUUCCUUAUAUGCAAGAUGAGAAUAAUUAAUUGCACUUACUUCACUUACUUCAGAGUGUUGUUAAGAGGAUGCACAGAGUUAAUAUAUGCAUAGCAAUUAUGAAAUUUUCUUGCACAGUAAAUGCUCAGUAUAUAGUAAUACUGUUAUUGAUAAUAAAUAUUUUUAUCCUAUUGUGCAUAUAACACUAUUCUCCUGAAGUACUUUAAGGAGCCAACCUUCUGUUUAUAUCAAAUUAUGUCUAUAAUAGAAGGAACAUGAAUCACAAAGGACAUGACACUGCCUGAUUCAGUAAUAAUCUGGAUCCUAAGGAUCAGAGACCUCCUGGACCAAGGAACUCUGAGAAGAAGUAAUUUAAGAGGCAAAAUGCUCAACUCUUCUUUGACUUGUUAACGUACCUGUAUAAUUGAUACCCUGUUUAUUGCUUUCUAUAAAAAGCUAGAGUUAAAUUUUAGUUGUGCCCAUUAUUAAAGAUAAAGACUGUCCUGUUUAUUAAAAAAUGAGUGAAGACUGUGGGGGUAUUUCUGCUGUCUAUAGUUCUUUAAAUCAAAGCUCUCUGGAUUAAUCCCCAAGCAGAUGAAGGUCUGGGGCAGCCCAGCCCAGGUGCUAAGUGUUCUUCAGGCUGAAAGAAUUGUAGAGAGCAGAAAUAGCCCACAGUCUUCACUUCCUUUUUAAUGAAAAGGACAGUCUUUUUGUUUAACAAUGGGCACAGCAAAAAUUUAACCCUAGCUUUUUACACAGAGCAAUAGCAAAGCACAACAUUUAACUAGCAUUCAUUUGGAACUCCUCUCUGCAGGAUAAUCUGUAAUUGAGCUGAUUAGCAAGAAGUGUUUGAAGAGCUUUUUUUGUCAACUUAGCUUGUGCAGAUACCCAGCUGGCUCCUAGGUGCAGUUUAUCUGUGGCUGCCCUUCAGAAGUGCAGUGUUAAUUAUUUUAUUAGCUCCUGCCCUUAGAAUUCCUUGAGAAUUUAAGAGCUAUUAAGAUAUCUUUCACUGUUGAAGCUCUUACCUCUCCUACUUGGUGUGGACAAGUACUACAGAAUGGAGAGAUGGAAAAAAGAUGUUAAUUAAUUAAUUAGCUGGGCAUGGUAAUGCGUGCUUGUAGUUUCAGCUAUUCAGGGGGCCGAGGCAGGAGGACCCCUUGAGCCCAGGAGUCUGAGGCUGCAAUGUGCUCUGAUCUUGCCACUGCACUCCAGUUUGGGUGAUAGAGUGAAACUCUAUCACUAAAAGGUAAAAAUUUUAAAAAUCAAGAAUGGAGAAGUGGACUUUCACCUUCAUCUCUUAAAAACUGAACAUCUGAAGACUUCCUCCUUAUUUCUCAAAUGCAUCCCUCUUCCCUCAUAAACUUUUAACUCCUUAGAACACACACAACUGGAACAUACUUGGUGUUAUGAACAUGUUGUUAUGUUGAUAACACAAAUUCAUAAAUAGCUCCUUCAGAGUAGAAUAGAAGCCUCUGCUCAUCAUUGACUGGUUCAUGAGGAGGAGGGUGGUGGGGAAGAAGAGGCAGAUAAAUCCCUAAGAUUCUUGGUCCCUGGUGGUGGACUGUUCCUUGCAGACCCGGAGCCUGGCAUUUCAUCAAGAAGCAUAACAUAGCCAGUGCUUUGGGGUUUUGUGACCCAUCUGCCUUUCAUACCACCUCUUAUUGCCCCUUGUCACAAGAAAUAGAAAAUGGAACAUGAUUAAAUGUCACUAUCCUUAUAGGUACCAUGCAAGGAAAAUCAACUGAGGUGUCAGGUCAUCCAUGCUUUUGUGUCAGCUCUACCUCUAAUUAGCCAGUCAUGUUGGGCAAGUCAUUUGUCUCAUCUCUGGGGUAUCUUGUUGUUCUUAACCUAAAAAAAGGAAACAUCUACCUAGCGCAAUUUCCAGGCUUCUGGUUUGAGUCACAGGAAGGGAAAAAGCACUCAAAUUUGAAUGCCACUAUGUGCCAGGCUUUUUAUAGACAUGAUUUUAUGUAAUCUGUAUGCAACCCAUGAGAUAAGUGUUUAGUCACUUUUUUUAUAAAUGAGAAAGCAAAGUUCAGAGUCCAGUCACCUGACUCGACCCCUCCCACUCCAGACCACACGCUCCUACCUCUCAUCCAACCACCAAUGGCAAGAAUGCUUUGCCAUGCCUAUGUCCUGAAUGGUAUUGCCUAGGUUUUCUUCUAGGGUUUUUAUGGUUUUAGGUCUAACAUUUAAGUCUUUAAUCCAUCUUGAAUUAAUUUCUGUAUAAGGUGUAAGGAAGGGAUCCAGUUUCAGCUUUCUACGUGGAUGAAACUGGAAACCAUCAUUCUCAGCAAACUAUCGCAAGGACAAAAAACCAAACACCGCAUGUUCUCACUCAUAGGUGGGAAUUGAACAAUGAGAACACAUGGACACAGGAAGGGGAACGUCACACACUGGAGAUUAUUG
rnacentral:lncRNA from 10 species